rnacentral:rRNA from 1 species
AACGAACGCUGGCGGCAUGCCUAACACAUGCAAGUCGAACGAGACCUUCGGGUCUAGUGGCGCACGGGUGCGUAACGCGUGGGAACCUGCCCUUAGGUUCGGAAUAACUCCCUGAAAGGGGUGCUAAUACAGGAUAAUGUAUUCGAACAAAAGAUUUAUCGCCUUUGGAUGGGCCCGCGUUGGAUAAGCUAGUUGGUAGGGUAAAAGCCGACCAAGGCGACGAUCCAUAGCUGGGUUGAGAGGCUGAUCCGCCACACUGGGACUGAGACACGGCCCGGACUCCUACGGGAAGCAGCAGUGGGUAAUAUUGGACAAUGGGCUAAAGCCUGAUCCAGCAAUGCCGCGUGAGUGAUGUAGUCCUUAGGGUUGUAAAGCUCUUUUACCCGGGAUGAUAAUGACAGUACCGGGAGAAUAAGCUCCGGCUAACUCCGUG